rnacentral:tRNA from 1 species
GAGGGUAUAGCUCAAGUGGUAGAGCAUGCUUAGCAUGCAGAAGGUCCUGGGUUCAAUCCCCAGUACCUCCU